GACGAACGCUGGCGGCGUGCUUAACACAUGCAAGUCGAACGGAAAGGCCCUGCUUUUGUGGGGUGCUCGAGUGGCGAACGGGUGAGUAACACGUGAGUAACCUGCCCUUGACUUUGGGAUAACUUCAGGAAACUGGGGCUAAUACCGGAUAGGAGCUCCUGCUGCAUGGUGGGGGUUGGAAAGUUUCGGCGGUUGGGGAUGGACUCGCGGCUUAUCAGCUUGUUGGUGGGGUAGUGGCUUACCAAGGCUUUGACGGGUAGGCGGCCUGAGAGGGUGACCGGCCACAUGGGGACUGAGGGACGGCCCAGAAUCGUAUGGGAGGCAGCAGGGGGGAAUAUGGCACAAUGGGCGGAAGCCUGAUGCAGCAACGCCGCGUGCGGGAUGACGGCCUUCGGGUUGUAAACCGCUGUCGCCUGUGACGAAGCGGGAGUGACGGUAAUGGGUAAAGAAGCACCGGCUAACUACGUG
rnacentral:rRNA from 1 species